rnacentral:rRNA from 1 species
AACGAACGCUGGCGGCAUGCCUAACACAUGCAAGUCGAACGAGACCUUCGGGUCUAGUGGCGCACGGGUGCGUAACGCGUGGGAACCUGCCCUUAGGUUCGGAAUAACUCCCCGAAAGGGGUGCUAAUACCGGAUAAUGUCUUCGGACCAAAGAUUUAUCGCCUUUGGAUGGGCCCGCGUUGGAUUAGCUAGUUGGUAGGGUAAAAGCCUACCAAGGCGACGAUCCAUAGCUGGUCUGAGAGGAGGAUCAGCCACACUGGGACUGAGACACGGCCCAGACCCCCACGGGGGGCAGCGGGGGGGAAAAUGGGACAGGGGGCGAAAGCCUGACCCAGCAAUGCCGGGGGAGUGAUGAAGGCCUUAGGGUUGUAAAGCUCUUUUACCCGGGAUGAUAAUGACAGUACCGGGAGAAUAAGCCCCGGCUAACUCCGU